rnacentral:rRNA from 1 species
UACGGAGGGUGCAAGCGUUAUCCGGAUUCACUGGGUUUAAAGGGUGCGUAGGUGGGCAGUUAAGUCAGUGGUGAAAUCUCCGGGCUCAACCCGGAAACUGCCAUUGAUACUGAAAGUCUUGAGUAUGGGAGAGGUGAGUGGAACUACGAGUGUAGAGGUGAAAUUCGUAGAUAUUCGCAAGAACACCAGUGGCGAAGGCGGCUCACUGGCCCAUAACUGACGCUGAGGCACGAAAGCGUGGGGAGCAAACAGG